rnacentral:misc_RNA from 1 species
AAGAUGCUGUUAAGAUGGCACAACUGGAAGAAAGGUUGGAUCUUGUUACAAGAGGAAUUUCAAGAGACGAAAGGAAAUGGAUGCUCUGAGGCAUGAUUUCAAGAAGCUGCAAGAUGGAAUCAAGAAAUAUGCUGCCGAGAAUAAAGUUGCAGUUGAAAAGACAAUUGAGGCUGCUGUAAGAAGAUUGGAAACCCUGAUGUUAGGGUUUU